GAAACUUGCUAGUGAAGAUGGUGCGUCGCGUGUUCUCUUGUCUCUCCGCUUUUGCUCUCUCGUUGCUUGUCGUGUUUAUGAUGACUGCCCGAGUUGAAUGCCAAAUGGAUGGCCUAGCGACCAACACGAGUGCUCUGUCAUCACUGAUAACUUCUCAUCUCGAGCACACCAUCGAUAAUCUAAGCUCCUUCACAAACAUAAUCUCCUUGCUGGGCGGGAUG